GUGGGCGUAAUUCAAUGGUAGAAUAACGAUUUCAGUCCUUCUCUCUCGUUUGAAAUUGUUAUGUAGGUUCAACUCCUGCCACUCACA
rnacentral:tRNA from 2 species